ensembl:rRNA 5S_rRNA 5S ribosomal RNA
GUCUGCAGUCAUACCACCCUUAAGGCGCCCGAUCUAGUCUGAUCUCAGAAGGCAGGCAGGGUUAGGUUUGGUUAGCACUUGGAUGGGAGAAAGGAAGUUAGAAUGAAUUAAGAAGGGAGGACU